rnacentral:rRNA from 1 species
GGCCAGACUCCUACGGGAGGCAGCAGUGGGGGAUAUUGCACAAUGGGGGAAAUCCUGAUGCAGCGACGCCGCGUGAGGGAUGAAGGUCUUCGGACCGUAAACCUCUGUCAGCAGGGAAGAACGGUCACUGUGCUAAUCAGCAGUGAAUUGACGGUACCUGCAAAGGAAGCACCGGCUAACUCCGUGCCAGCAGCCGCGGUAAUACGUAGGGAGCGAGCGUUGUCCGGAUUUACUGGGUGUAAAGGGCGUGCAGCCGGGAAGACAAGUCAGACGUGAAAUCCCGCGGCUCAACCGCGGAACUGCAUUUGAAACUGUUUUUCUUGAGUACCGGAGAGGUCAUCGGAAUUCCUUGUGUAGCGGUGAAAUGCGUAGAUAUAAGGAAGAACACCAGUGGCGAAGGCGGAUGACUGGACGGCAACUGACGGUGAGGCGCGAAAGCGUGGGGAGCAAACAGGAUUAGAUACCCGAGUA